UCCUAUCCUGGGUGAUAAUGCAUGCGUUGUGUCCUUUACUCCCCUUGGCUGCCCCUCCUCUCGUGGGCACUACCCUAUAAAUCGUUAUGAAUAAAGCAAUCCUCGUCCUCCAUGAUCCAAUUCCAUUCCUUACAAAUAAUGUAAUUGAGAUAGAGAGGGACUAAGGUAUAAUCGGGUGGGAGAGCCGAGAGCGUGAAUGAGAGACGGAAGAUUUGCAAUUGGCAGAGAAGGGGGUGGUUUUAGACGCACGCUAGCGUUGCGCCACCAAAACUUGCAAGAGGAGUGAUGGUGCCACGCUGCGUGCGUCUAAAGUCUUUAACCCCUUGAUUUUCUUUUUUCUUUUUCAUAUAAUUAACGCCAAUUGAAGGAAUUCAAACAUCAAACCUGGAUUGGAAGAAAAAUGGUGAAGAGCUGAGAUGUUAGCUUUCCCAAAUUUUGUUUGAGUAACUAAUUGUUAUUACUUGCCAAUUUAAAUUCCCACCAUGUGAUCUUUAUAAUUGCCAAAUGAUUUUUUAUUUAUUUGCUUCCUUAUUUUGAUCAUAUUCUCCUCGUAUUCCUUAUUUUCUUAUUCCAUGCAUUUUCAGUACUAGAGCAUUUUAGCAUGUGCUUGGACACUGGAGUGAAGCCGGUGCUUAUAUAUAGCAAUGUUUACGAUUGCUCUAUUUUUUUUAAGAAGGAUUUCAUGCUAAUUUUCUAGCUAAUUAAUUUGAAUCUUGGUUUUGGAAAUUGGAAUAUUACUGUUUAUUUUGAUUUUCAUUGUUCUAGUUCUCUGCAUUUCUAUCUUCCUGUUUUUCUUUUGUGUUAGUUUGACCCUACUGGUCUUGAGUUUCGAUUGGCAGAGUGAAAUGACAGGCCACAUGACAAGGAAAUGCAACAAUGAUCGUGCCUACCAAGCAGAUAAAAGGCUGGUAGCUGUGUUUGCUUCUUAUAGCAAGAUAUUAAGGUGCAGAUCAAGACAAACCAAGUCUCGUGUUCUUCGAAGUUUGAACUUUUCAAAGGCCUCGAAUUAAUGGACUCUUGUAAGAAACAGAAGACUUGGCACAAAUCUUUGAUGUUACUUCAGAAUUGAACCUGCUACUGCUUCAGCCGCCUGUAAAAGAAGAUGAAAACCGUUGCUUUCUCUCUUGCACUGGAAAACGCAUUUUUAUAGCCCUGCAUGACUGACUUUUUUAUUGUUUCUGGAUCUGUCUCCCAUGUUCAUAAAUAUAUUUGUUUAGUGAUACAUGUUAUUUGUAUAAGGUAAAUUUUUAUCUAGUUAUAAUAAAUUUAUAUUUUAUUGUUUAUAA